rnacentral:rRNA from 1 species
AGUGAACGCUGGCGGUAGGCCUAACACAUGCAAGUCGAACGGCAGCACAGUAAGAGCUUGCUCUUACGGGUGGCGAGUGGCGGACGGGUGAGGAAUACAUCGGAAUCUACUUUUUCGUGGGGAUAACGUAGGGAAACUUACGCUAAUACCGCAUACGACCUACGGGUGAAAGCAGGGGAUCUUCGGACCUUGCGCGAUUGAAUGAGCCGAUGUCGGAUUAGCUAGUUGGCGGGGUAAAGGCCCACCAAGGCGACGAUCCGUAGCUGGUCUGAGAGGAUGAUCAGCCACACUGGAACUGGGACACGGUCCAGACUCCUACGGGAGGCAGCAGUGGGGAAUAUUGGACAAUGGGCGCAAGCCUGAUCCAGCCAUACCGCGUGGGUGAAGAAGGCCUUCGGGUUGUAAAGCCCUUUUGUUGGGAAAGAAAAGCAGCAGGUUAAUACCCCGCUGUUCUGACGGUACCCAAAGAAUAAGCACCGGCUAACUUCGUG